rnacentral:rRNA from 1 species
ACGCUGGCGGCAAGCCUCAUACAUGCAAGUCGAACGAGAAAGUAUCUUCGGAUACAAGUAAAGUGGCGGACGGGUGAGUAAUACAUAGGAAUCUACCCAGUGGAGGGGGAUAGCUCGAGGAAACUCGAAUUAAUACCGCAUAAUCUCUACGGAGUAAAGAGGGCUUCGGCUCUCACCAUUGGAUGAGCCUAUGCAAGAUUAGCUUGUUGGUGAGGUAAUGGCUCACCAAGGCUACGAUCUUUAGCUGGUUUGAGAGGACGACCAGCCACAUCGGGACUGAGACACGGCCCGGACUUCUACGGAAGGCAGCAGUAGGGAAUAUUGGACAAUGAGCGAAAGCUUGAUCCAGCUAUGCCGCGUGUGCGAUGACGGCCUUAGGGUUGUAAAGCACUUUAGGUAACGAGGAAAAGUUAGGUGUUAAUACCACUUAACCAUGACGUUAAUUACAGAAUAAGCACCGGCUAA